GUGUCAGCAGCCGCGGUAAUACAGAGGUCUCAAGCGUUGUUCGGAAUCACUGGGCGUAAAGGGUGCGUAGGCCGCACGGUAAGUCAGAGGUGAAAUCCCGGAGCUCAACUUCGGAAUUGCCUCCGAUACUGCCGUGCUUGAGGACUGGAGAGGAGAUUGGAAUUCACAGUGGAGCAGUGAAAUGCGUAGAUAUUGUGAGGAACACUAGUGGCGAAGGCGAAUCUCUGGACAGUUCCUGACGCUGAGGCACGAAGGCCAGGGGAGCAAACGGGAUUAGAAACCCGCGUAGUCC
rnacentral:rRNA from 1 species